UUGUACACACCGCCCGUCGUUACUACCGAUUGAAUGGCUUAGUGAGGUCUUGGGAGCGUUGGCUUGGUGGGCGACCGCCGCGCUGAUGCAAACUUGAUCAAACUUGGUCAUUUAGAGGAAGUACAAGUCGUAACAAGGUUUCCGUAGGUGAACCUGCGGAAGGAUCAUUUUUGAACCAUAUUAACACUGUGACGAGCCCUUGCGUAGCGAGGGCGACUGCUUCCGGUUCGCCGGAUUAUUUUUUUAACCAAAUCUGAUAAUGUUAGUGAAAAACUUUCAACAACGGAUCUCUUGGUUCUCGCAUCGAUGAAGAACGCAGCAAAGCGCGAUAGGUAAUGCGAAUUGCAGACGUGAGUCAUUGAAUCUUUGAACGCACAUUGCGCCAGUUUACUGGCAUACUGCGUUGAGCGUCGGCCUUCCUCCACAGGUGCUGCUACUUACAGUAGUGAAAGGCAUGGAAACGCACCCGUUAGCAAACCGGUGCUGACCUACAAAUUCGACCUCAGCGUAGUAAGAUUACCCGCUGAACUUAAGCAUAUCAAUAAGCGGAGGAAAAGAAACCAACAGGGAUUGCCCUAGUAAUGGCGAAUGAACAGGCAAAAGCUCAGAUUUGAAACCCUCGGGAUUGUAAUCUGGAGACCUGGAUUUGGCACGCUGACCAAGUCUUCUGGAACGGAGCGCCAUGGAGGGUGACAGCCCCGUAGCAGCAGCCGCAGUAAAUCCGGGUCGACGAGUCG
rnacentral:rRNA from 1 species